GCCUAGUUAGCUUUGUUGGUAGCGCGUCUGCCUUGUAAGCGCUAGGCCGCGGGUUCGAUUCCCGCACGGGGCG
rfam:Asian citrus Psyllid, Diaphorina citri - Florida Strain, whole genome shotgun sequence.